CCUACGGGAGGCAGCAGUGGGGAAUAUUGGGCAAUGCAGGAAACUCUGACGCAGCAACGCCGCGUGAAGGAUGAAGGUUUUCGGAUUGUAAACUUCUGUCGCGAGGGACGAAGAAUGACGGUACCUAGUAAGAAAGCCCCGGCAAACUACGUGUCAGCAGCCGCGGAAAUACGUAGGGGGAGAGCGUCGGCCGGAAGGACUGGGCGUAAAGGGAGUGUAGGUGGAGCUUUAAGGUAUAUGUGAAAUCCCGCGGCUCAACCGUGGCAGUGCAUAUAAAACUGGGGAGCUGGAGUGCAGGAUAGGUGAGUGGAAUUCCGAGGGGAGCGGUGGAAUGCGUAGAUAUUAGGAAGAACACCGGGGGCGAAGGCGGCUAACUGGACUGUAACUGACGCUGAGGCGCGAAAGCGUGGGGAGCAAACAGGAUUAGAUACCCUAGUAGUC
rnacentral:rRNA from 1 species